rnacentral:rRNA from 1 species
UACGUAGGUGGCAAGCGUUGUCCGGAUUUAUUGGGCGUAAAGCGCGUGUAGGUGGAUUGGUAAGUUACUUAUAAAAGCUCCUGGCUAAACUAGGAGAGGUUGGGUGAUACUGCCAGUCUUGAAUAGAGGAGAGGUUGACGGAAUUCCGCGUGUAGUGGUGAAAUGCGUAGAGAUGCGGAAGAACACCAGUGGCGAAGGCGGUCAACUGGCCUCAUAUUGACACUCAGACGCGAAGGCAUGGGUAGCGAACGGG